ACAGAAUUUGUGUGUCAUGUCAGACUGGGCUUCAACCCAAACUAUCGACUAAACACAACAUUUGUUGCACAGUGUUUGUACAUCAUACAUCCUUACUCCCAAAUAUUUAUAGAACAGAUCUAUGUAGUAGAAGGCUAUAAGUUUUUAACACAAUUAGUUUUCAGUUGCUCCAUUUAAUAUCCACCCAUUCACUCACAGGUAAUUACUAUAGACAUUCCCUAGAACACCUAAGAAGGUAAGGAUAAGAACUUCUCUAAGACACCUGUAACUCUGAGAAAGUUUCAGGAAUUUUUGAAGAUUAGAAAAGCUCUUUCAAGCACCCCAAAAAGAGGUGAGAUAGUUACUCUAUUUUUUACUUUCUGCUUGACUAAUCUGAAAGCUGUAUUGAAAACCAAAUCCUGUUCAUUCUCCAAUGGCUAUAAAAGACCGAGGACCACAAAAAUCUCCGUGUUUAUU